GCAUCACUAGCUCAAUUGGCAGAGCAACAGACUCUUAAUCUGGCGGUUCGGGGUUCGAUUCCCCGGUGAUGCACCA
rnacentral:tRNA from 1 species